AUUGAACGCUGGCGGAAUGCUUUACACAUGCAAGUCGAACGGCAGCACGGGGCAACCUGGUGGCGAGUGGCGAACGGGUGAGUAAUACAUCGGAACGUGCCCAAUCGUGGGGAUAACGUAGCGAAAGUUACGCUAAUACCGCAUACGAUCUACGGAUGAAAGCGGGGGAUCGCAAGACCUCGCGCGAGUGGAGCGGCCGAUGUCAGAUUAGGUAGUUGGUGGGGUAAAGGCUCACCAAGCCAACGAUCUGUAGCUGGUCUGAGAGGACGACCAGCCACACUGGAACUGAGACACGGUCCAGACUCCUACGGGAGGCAGCAGUGGGAAUUUUGGACAAUGGGCGCAAGCCUGAUCCAGCCAUUCCGCGUGCAGGAUGAAGGCCUUGGGUUGUAAACGUGCUUUUGUACGGUAACGAAACGGCGA
rnacentral:rRNA from 1 species